AUGAUGUUUCUGUGCUCUCUGACUGUCUUUAUGAUCAUAAUAGAUGACUGCUCUGCACAGUCAAUAGCACCACUGGAGAACAAAAUGAAGGUUCAUGCUCUUGAAGAUGAGACAGUUACUCUCUCCUGCAAGCAUAAUGAAAGUCGUACUCCUGAUAGUCUGCAGUGGUAUCGUCAGUAUCCUGGAUCCAGACCAGAGUAUUUGCUGAUGAUAUUGCCAGCAGCAAAAAUUGUGAGCCAUGCAACCCCACCGUUUCCAAGACUGAAUGCUACAGAACAUGACAAAACAGUGAAUCUGACAAUCUCCUCUGCUGCAGUAUCAGACUCUGCACUCUACUACUGUGCCAUGAAGCCCACAGUGACAGGAAACCCAGCUACACUGUACAAAAACCCAUUCUAGGAUAAUGCUUUGCAUAGUUACCUUUCAGAUUCUUUUCCUUCCUUAACACAGGCACAGUGUUGGAACUCCAUCAGAAUUAUGCAGGUUUGCUCUAGAUUUUUUGUAUUUA